AUUGAACGCUGGCGGCAUGCCUUACACAUGCAAGUCGAACGGUAACAGGUUAAGCUGACGAGUGGCGAACGGGUGAGUAAUGUAUCGGAACGUGCCCAGUCGUGGGGGAUAACUGCUCGAAAGAGCAGCUAAUACCGCAUACGACCUGAGGGUGAAAGCGGGGGAUCGCAAGACCUCGCGCGAUUGGAGCGGCCGAUAUCAGAUUAGGUAGUUGGUGAGGUAAAGGCUCACCAAGCCGACGAUCUGUAGCUGGUCUGAGAGGACGACCAGCCACACUGGGACUGAGACACGGCCCAGACUCCUACGGGAGGCAGCAGUGGGGAAUUAUGGACAAUGGGCGCAAGCCUGAUCCAGCCAUGCCGCGUGCGGGAAGAAGGCCUUCGGGUUGUAAACCGCUUUUGUCAGGGAAGAAAAGGUUCUGGCUAAUACCUGGGACUCAUGACGGUACCUGAAGAAUAAGCACCGGCUAACUACGUG
rnacentral:rRNA from 1 species